GCCAUCCCCAACCUCCCGCGCCUCCCGCUCGGAUAAGCCACAACGCCGUGCCCGCCCGCAACCGUCGGCGAAGUCUCGCGGAAAAGCCGUAUCCGUCGCUCCCCGCACCGCUGCCCUUGCCUAUAAAAGCCCAGUGACCCCCUCUCUUGACCCCGCCGUCCCGCUAACCCUCUCGCCGCUUCUAGCCGCCGCCGUCGUCGUGUGCAUCUCGUCGGAGCCGAGCCGCUCCGCUGUCAAAUUCGUCGCUGAUCGUCGGAGCCGCCGCACGGAUGACACUGCGUCCCGCCGGAGCACCGGAGCUCCGCCGCGAGCCCUUGCUCGACCCUGGCCACCCCAACGCAUGCCGCCACCACCGUUGGGACGCCCGUGUCGCACUCUUCUUCCCCAUCUACUUCCCCGGCGCCGAGGACCGCCGCAACCGCCGCCCCGCCGAUGCUGAGCCUCCUGCCGCCGCCUUUGCCCCGUUAUUGUCCGGAGUGCGAAGAAAAUUACUAUCGUUCUCUAGAGUUGAAUCACCAGUACCAAGGCAAGUACAUAUUUGACCAUUCUUUCAAUUACCUAUGUUUUAUGUAUGCACUUAUUCCUUUGUGGUAGGAUUGCAUGGUAGGAAUUUUAUGUCGGGUGGCUAUGCUCUUACCUAGCAGUUCAUUUGAGGUAGCGUUGAAGUAUACAACCUUUGUAACCAUCGUGUAAGUUUAUUUUUGCCUCGCUAAUGUAGACGUGGAUUGGGAAGUGUUCAUGGUGAGACAUGAGUGACAAAGUAGUAAUCAGGACCAGGACUUUUAAAUGUACUACCUGGGCAGAAAUUGGUUGAGUGGUGGCAAAGUACAAUGGGGCAUGCAUGGGAAAUCUAUGGUGGUGCACCACUAGUGGUCCGUCCGCUCAGGCUCAAAGCGAUCAAACGUGUUUUCAUGUCUAGAAGCUUACGUGUGCAGCCACAAGCUAACAUGAGUUCUGGCUUAGUUGAGUAGUUAGUGUGACCUCUUCCAGGAUGGACUAGCAGAUGUAGAAUGAGUAGGUGUAUCGGCCUAUUUGUGGGUUAAGAGGGAAUGCUUUCGAAUCAUGCACUUUGCCGUCUGCCAUGGCUGACGGCAAAGGCAUGCCUGGCGGACGGCAAAGGCCUUUGCCAUCAGCUAGCAGACGGCCCCACGUCCGGCUGAACGAAAUACGACAAAUGGCUUCUUUGCCGUCUGCUUUAAUAAAGCGGACGGCAAAAAAGUUUGUCGUCAGCCAUCUAGGGCAAGCAGACGGCAAAGGGCAUGGACGACAGAGGGGUAGGGUUAGGUCCGUUAGGGUGUUAACGGCGUGCUUUGCCGUCUACUGGCAGAUGGCAAAGAUGCAAAGGCUUUGUCGUCUGCCAGCCAUCGACAAAGUGUCCAAAUAGCCAGCCCAUGUGCCCCCUAGGUAGCUGCCACGUGGCUUGUUAUGCCGUCUGCUGGCAGACGACAAAGAUGCAAAGGUCUUUGCCGUUUGCUAGCAGACGGCAAAGUGUCCAAAUAGGCUAGCCCAGUGCCUCCCAGGUUGCACAGGUAGCUGCCACGUGGCAGCUUUGUCGUCUGCGGGCGGACGGGAAACCUCUUUGCCAUCUGAUGGCAGACAACAAAGUGCCUGUAUUACCCUUGUUAAUUCGGUUUUGUCUUAAAUUCAAUCAAUUUCAUAUAUAUAUAUAUAUAUUCAUUUUAAAAUACUUUCAACAAGCAUACAUAUCCCUGCCAUAUGGGUAUGAUCAUCCAACACAUAUACAUACCAAAUCAAAAGUCUAUAUCCAACAUAUAUAUAGCCAACAUAUCCAACAACAAGCAUACAAUGGUUUCAUUCAUACAUACAUAUAUAGGUAGCAAGUUUCACAUUGUUCAUCCUACAAAAUCAAAACAAAAAGGAAGGACAAGGAGAAGAGUAGACUCCAUCAACGCAAGCUUCCGUGAUCUGAAGCAAAUCUGCAAACUGGGAAAGAAGAAAGUUAGAAGAAGAAGAGGAAGAAGAAGAAGACUAGAAGAAGAAGAAGAAGACGACUUUUUCUUCUCUUUGUUUUUCUCCUCUUCUUUAUCUUCUUCUUCUUCUAACUAAGGUAACCUAGGUAAUUAUACCAUUUUUAGC